UAACCUUUCUCUCACAGGUCAUUGAUUACAAAACUCAGCAAAGCAGACUCUUUCCGCUGCUGGUUUCAGCAUAUUCUUUUAGGUUUGUUGGUCAAUGGUUGAAGUGGCUAUAUAAUGAUGUGACAGAGAGACUACGAGCUAAUGAUUUUUCAACAUUGCCUGAGGCUCAUGCAUGCACUGCUGGUUUGAAAUCUUUGACAACCUCAGUGACAGCAGAUGA